rnacentral:lncRNA from 1 species
UGAUAAUUGAAUUGAUGGAUAUGUGCUUAUGUUUGCAAAUUAAGCUUCAAUUCAUGCCAUGUGUAUUGUGUUUGAUAGUUGUUAAUUAUAUAAUCACUUUUUGAAAUUAAGAAUUGGAAUAUAUAGAUAAGUAGUUACAAAUCAGAGUGAUUUAUUCUUGUUUCGGUGAAAUUGGCCUUGCUAAGAAAGUGGAGUUCAUGCAUCAUAUAGGAUGUGUAUAGAAGAGUAUAUUUAGGUAGCCUGUGUGGCUGGUUU